rnacentral:rRNA from 1 species
ACUGAGGAACGAAAGCAUGGGUAGCGAAGAGGAUUAGAUACCCUCGUAGUCCAUGCCGUAAACGAUGUGUGUUAGACGUUGGAAAUUUAUUUUCAGUGUCGCAGCGAAAGCGAUAAACACACCGCCUGGGGAGUACGACCGCAAGGUUAAAACUCAAAUGAAUUGACGGGGACCCGCACAAGUAGUGGAGCAUGUGGUUUAAUACGAAGAUACGCGCAGAACCUUACCAACACUUGACAUGUUCGUCGCGACUCUAAGAGAUUAGAGUUUUCGGUUCGGCCGGACGAAACACAGGUGCUGCAUGGCUGUCGUCAGCUCGUGUCGUGAGAUGUUGGGUUAAGUCCCGCAACGAGCGCAACCCUCACUUUUAGUUGCCAUCAUUAAGUUGGGCACUCUGAAAGAACUGCCAGUGAUAAGCUGGAGGAAGGUGGGGAUGACGUCAAGUCCUCAUGGCCCUUACGUGUUGGGCUACACACGUGCUGCAAUGGUAUCUACAACAGGAAGCAAGACUGCGAGGUCAAGCAAAUCCUUAAAAGAUACCUCAGUUCGGAUUGCACUCUGCAACUCGAGUGCAUGAAGCUGGAAUUACUAGUAAUCGUGGAUCAGCGUGCCACGGUGAAUGCGUUCCCGGGCCUUGUACACUCCGCCC